UAGGGAAUCUUCCGCAAUGGACGAAAGUCUGACGGAGCAACGCCGCGUGAGUGAAGAAGGAUUUCGGUUCGUAAAACUCUGUUGUUAGGGAAGAAAAAAUGUAUAGUAACUAUAUACAAAAGAGACGGUACCUAACCAGAAAGCCACGGCUAACUACGUGCCAGCAGCCGCGGUAAUACGUAGGUGGCAAGCGUUGUCCGGAAUUAUUGGGCGUAAAGCGCGCGCAGGUGGUUUAGAUAGUCUGAUGUGAAAGCCCACGGCUCAACCGUGGAGGGUCAUUGGAAACUAAUAAACUUGAGUGCAGGAGAGAAAAGUGGAAUUCCUAGUGUAGCGGUGAAAUGCGUAGAGAUUAGGAGGAACACCGGUGGCGAAAGCGGCUUUUUGGCCUGCAACUGACACUGAGGCGCGAAAGCGUGGGGAGCAAACAGG
rnacentral:rRNA from 1 species